rnacentral:tRNA from 14 species
GCUGAUAUAGCUCAGGCGGUAGAGCGCAUCCUUGGUAAGGAUGAGGUCCCCAGUUCGACUCUGGGUAUCAGCACCA